rnacentral:rRNA from 1 species
UACGUAGGGUCCGAGCGUUGUCCGGAAUUAUUGGGCGUAAAGAGCUCGUAGGCGGUUUGUCACGUCGGCUGUGAAAACCCGAGGCUCAACCUCGGGCCUGCAGUCGAUACGGGCAGACUAGAGUAUGGCAGGGGAGACUGGAAUUCCUGGUGUAGCGGUGAAAUGCGUAGAUAUCAGUCGGAACACCGGUGGCGAAGGCGGCUUCUUGGGCCGUUCCUGACGCUGAGGCGCGAAAGCUGGGGGAGCGAACGGG